CCUGGUUUGCCCUCGGCUUUCUUCCGGUAGCCUUCCGCGCUUCACUGCGUGUGUUGGUGUUCCGGAACUUUUACUUUGAGAAAAAUAGAGUGUUUCAAGCAGGCUUGUCGCCCUGAAUACUUCAGCAUGGAAUAAUAAGAUAGGACCUUGGUUCUAUUUUGUUGGUUUCUAGGACCAAGGUAAUGGUUAAUAGGGACAGUUGGGGGCAUUCGUAUUUAACUGUCAGAGGUGAAAUUCUUAGAUUUGUUAAAGACGAACUACUGCGAAAGCAUUUGCCAAGGAUGUUUUCAUUAAUCAAGAACGACAGUAGGGGGUUUGAAGACGAUUAGAUACCGUCGUAAUCUNNACCAUAAACUAUGCCGACUAGAGAUAGGGAAACGCCUACCUUG
rnacentral:rRNA from 1 species